UACGAAGGGGGCUAGCGUUGCUCGGAAUCACUGGGCGUAAAGCGCACGUAGGCGGACUCUUAAGUCAGGGGUGAAAUCCUGGAGCUCAACUCCAGAACUGCCUUUGAUACUGGGAGCCUUGAGUUCGGGAGAGGUGAGUGGAACUGCGAGUGUAGAGGUGAAAUUCGUAGAUAUUCGCAGGAACACCAGUGGCGAAGGCGGCUCACUGGCCCGAUACUGACGCUGAGGUGCGAAAGCGUGGGGAGCAAACAGG
rnacentral:rRNA from 1 species